GCUUGCGCCUGUGUGCACAUGGACAUGCAUAUAAUCAUGAGCAUGCAUUGUGCACAUGUGUGGAAGAGCCUCUGCAUGCAUGGGAGGGAGAAAAGGGAAAGAGUAGGAUAUCUAGCUUUAACAGAACAAUGUCAAUCUCAAAUCUCAGUGCACUAAGUGCAUCAAUAUUAGAAACUCACAUUGAAAAUAACCUCAACCCAAACUCAACCGCCAUUAU
rnacentral:misc_RNA from 1 species